GAUAACUCAGUUGGUCAGAGUGUGGUGCUCAUAAUACCAAGGUUUGAAGUUCAAUCCCUGCAUGGGGCAGCUACA